rnacentral:rRNA from 1 species
GAUGAACGCUAGCGGGAGGCCUAACACAUGCAAGCCGAGCGGUAUUGUUUCUUCGGAAAUGAGAGAGCGGCGUACGGGCGCGUAACACGUGUGCAACCUGCCUUUAUCUGGGGGAUAGCCUUUCGAAAGGAAGAUUAAUACUCCAUAAUAUAUUGAACGGCAUCGUUUAAUAUUGAAAGCUCCGGCGGAUAGAGAUGGGCACGCGCAAGAUUAGCUAGUUGGUGAGGUAACGGCUCACCAAGGCAAUGAUCUUUAGGGGGCCUGAGAGGGUGAUCCCCCACACUGGUACUGAGACACGGACCAGACUCCUACGGGAGGCAGCAGUGAGGAAUAUUGGUCAAUGGGUGCAAGCCUGAACCAGCCAUCCCGCGUGAAGGACGACUGCCCUAUGGGUUGUAAACUUCUUUUGUAUAGGGAUAAACCUACCCUCGUGAGGGUAGCUGAAGGUACUAUACGAAUAAGCACCGGCUAACUCCGUGCCAGCCGCCGCGGUAA